rnacentral:rRNA from 1 species
UCGUGCCUACGGGAGGCAGCAGUGGGGAAUAUUGCACAAUGGGGGAAACCCUGAUGCAGCGACGCUGCGUGAGUGAAGAAGUAUUUCGGUAUGUAAAGCUCUAUCAGCAGGGAAGAAAAUGACGGUACCUGAUUAAGAAGCCCCGGCUAACUACGUGCCAGCAGCCGCGGUAAUACGUAGGGGGCAAGCGUUAUCCGGAUUCACUGGGUGUAAAGGGAGCGUAGACGGUGAUGCAAGUCAGAAGUGAAAGCCCGGGGCUCAACUCCGGGACUGCUUUUGAAACUGUGUGACUGGAGUGAAGGAGG